rnacentral:tRNA from 1 species
GGAUGGGUACAGCUCAGUGGCAGAGCGCAUGCUUAGCAUGCACGAGGUCCUGGGUUCAAUCCCCAGUGCCUCCA